rnacentral:tRNA from 1 species
GGAACUCUAGUUAAUAAAUAACAUUCGUUUGUCAAGCGCAAGUUGCCCUGCGGCGUGUUCCU